GAAGCGGCGGCGGUUGGUGUUUAAAGGCUCCGCGGCGGCAAAAGAGCGGCGAGUGGCGGCAGCGCGGGAGGAGCCGCCCGAGGGCUCCCGGUUCCCUCCGCUCCGCCUCGGGAGCGGCUGUACUUCCCGGCCCUGGCAGCACCCGGGCGGAGCGGGGAGAUGGUCUCCAGAGCCGCCGAUCGGCUGCUGAUCGUCGUCUCCGUGCUGGAAGGGCGCUGUUUCCCAAAACGACCCAAGCACAUGCUUAUAGUUGAAGCCAAGUUAGAUGGAGAACAGUUGGCUACUGACCCUGUGGAGCAUACUGAUCAGCCCGAAUUUGCUACAGAAUUGGCCUGGGAACUUGAUAGGAAAGCACUUCAUCAGCACAGGCUGCAGCGUACACCUAUCAAACUACAAUGUUUUGCACUGGAUCCUGUUUCUUCAGCUCAAGAGAAUAUAGGCUAUAUUGUACUGGAUUUAAGGGCUGCACAGGAAAAGAAACAGGCACCUAAAUGGUACCCUUUGCUUAGUAACAAAUACCCUAAGUUUAAACCUGAAAUACAAAUUGGUGUUGCAUUGGAGAUAGAUUCAAAAGCACUGGUUGAUGAUUUUAAGGCAAAGGAGGCACCCCCUAGAGAAGGGAAGGUACUCACCCUUUUUCCUGGACUAGACCCUAAAAGUAUUGUGCCAGUCUUGAAUGAAGAAGAGGGCUAUCACCAAAUUGGACCAGCAGAGUAUUGCAGAGAUCACUUUGUCAUGUCUGUAACCAUUGCAUUUGCCACUCGGUUGGAACAGUUAGUUCCUAGUACUAUGAAGCUCCCUGAUCGACAGCCUGAGUUUUUUUUCUACUACUCAUUACUGGGAAACGAUGUCACAAAUGAACCUUUCACUGACUUAAUUAAUCCAAACUUUGAGCCAGAAAGAGCUUCAGUUCGAAUACGUAGUACAGUAGAUGUUCUUCAAGUUUAUCUUUGUGCACAGUCAAAGUUGCAGCACCUUGUGUGUGUGCAGAUCCAUCUUUGCUGUGGGGACCACUCUCUUGGAAGCACUGAAGUUCCCCUGUCUGGACUACUGAAGAAAGGAAACAUGGAGAUUGACCAGCACCCUGUGGCAAUAGAGGGACCAUUUGUUCUUGUUCCACCAAAUAGAGCUAAACAGAAAUUGACAAAACUGCCUUUGGAUCUGGCUCCUACUGUUGGGGUAUCUGUAAUUCUUCAAAGGGAGAACUUGACUACCCAGCCUUCGAUUCCCUUAAAUGCUGCAACUGAGCCCAAACAGCCACAGGAGAAAAUUCUUUCACCUGUUAGUAGAAAAAUAGAGAACCAGCAGCAGAGAUCCCAGAAUGUCCCAUCUCAAGUUGACCACAGUUCUUCAAAAGAAGAUGUAGCAACAGAAAGUGAAGUGGAAAGUCUUAAGCUUGAAAAAGGCUCAAAACCAAGGAAAAGGGGGCUGGUGGCUGGCUGCCCUCAAGAGGUUAACAAACAGUGUUUUGAAGAGCCUCCAGCUUUGAAAUCGCAGAGCAGAGCAAAGUCACCUCUGUUAGAUGUGCAAAAUCACACUGAUAGUGGUGCAGUAGCGAUAUCUCAGCCCAAUCCUGUGGGUAUGUCCAGCUCUUCUGACCCUGUGUCAGCACAGAAAAUUGUUAUUCCAGCAGCCGCUCACCAUUUUUGCUUUUCAAUAGACUUAAGAAGUAUACGUGGUCUGGAAGUUGGUUUUCCAAUAAAUUGCAUUUUAAGGUACUCGUACCCAUUUUUUGGCAGUGCAGCACCUAUUAUGACAAGUCCACCUGUAGAAAUUAGAAAGAACAUGGAAGUCUUUCUUCCAAAGUCAUAUUGUGCAUUUGACUUCGCAACUAUACCUCAUCAGCUUCAAGAUACAUUCUUCAGACUGCCUCUGCUGGUUGAAUUGUGGCACAAGGAUAAAACAGCCAAAGACUUACUUCUAGGAGUGGCAAGGCUUCAGCUUUCAAAUGUUUUGGCUUCAGAAAAAACCCGCUUCUUGGGUGGGACUGGUGAACAAUGCUGGCGUCAGACUUAUAAUGAAGCAGUCAGCUUCACAGCAGCACAAGGGUCAGGCAGCAGAAUAGCAGAGCUUUCGUAUGCCAUCACCUUGGAAGACUAUGGACUUGUCAAAGUGCAAGAAGUUAUGGUGUCAGAGUCUUCUCAAGAUGUAGGUGCUGGUCGACAACGGCAUGUCCCUCACACUCAGCCUCGCUGUGCCCAAGAAGACCAUCCAGAACCUCGAGAAACUCUGGAAUACAAAGCAGCACUGGAGUUAGAAAUGUGGAAGGAAAUGCAAGAAGACCUUUUUGAAAAUCAGCUUAAAAAGAAGGAAAUGGUCCAUAUGCAAGCACUUGCAGAGGAAUGGAAGAAAAGAGAUAGAGAGAGAGAGGCAUUAGUGAAGAAAAAGGUAGCAGAAUAUAAUGUUUUGGAAGAACAACUUCAGAAAACCCUGAGAGAUCUGGAUAAGCGAGAGCGACAGCUUUUUAGUGCUGAAUCAGAGCUUCAAAGAGUAAAGAAGGAGCUGCAAGCAGAACAUGAAAGAAAUCUGCAGGUGCUUCAGGAUUCUGUGCGUCGAGCCAGAGAGGAAUGUGCACACCAGCUAGAACUAGAAAGGUCAAAAAUCAAACAACUGGAAGAAGACAAGCUUCGCUUACAUCAGCAGCUUUAUGAAGCAGAAAAUAAGCAUAAGACUUUGGAGAAGGAGUUCCAGCAAUACAAAGAACAGCAAAGUAGCAAACCAGAAAUCCAGCUACAAUCAGAAAUAAAUCUUCUCACUUUAGAAAAGGUUGAACUUGAAAGAAAGUUAGAGUCAGCUACCAAGUCAAAGCUGCACUACAAACAACAAUGGACAAGGGCUUUGAAAGAACUUGCAAGGUUAAAACAGCGUGAACAAGAAAAUGCAAUGGCUCACCUUAAAAAGCAGCAACAAGAGCUCGAGCACAUGAGGUUGCGCUAUUUGGCAGCAGAAGAAAAAGAGCUUGGGAAGACAGACCGACAAGAGCUGGAGGAUAUCAGAAAUGAACUUAACAGGAAGAAGCAGUUCUGUGAUUUCAUGGCUAGUAAUUGCUAAUUUUUUUACUUCGGGAAAUUUAAGAGCCACUGAUGAUGCAUUUACUGCCUAAAGGAGACAGGCAAAAAAUAUAAACCAGCUUUAACUGCAGAAGGAGAUUUUUCUGCUUCAUGAAAACUCAGAGCAAAGGCUGAGCCUGCUGCUGAAGUGAUUUGAGUGUCACACAGGUGAGGUGAAGGAUGUGGCAAGAUCAGCGCUACCACACAGCGAUCACCAGGAUGUUUUUAAGCAGUGUGGCUCCAGGUGAUGUUUGGUUUUGUUGAUUGGUACUGAUAGUGCACAAUUCCUCUUUGAUGUAUUUUUCUUCCCAGGGUCAGAGGAGGGUAAAGUUUUUGUGAUGUAACAGUGAGAUUUAGUAUUCAUAUGACUUUUCUUGGACUGCAGCAGAAGUCUGCAUCUCUAGUGCCCACCUCUCAUCUUGUUUGAGUACCUAGGAGGACCCUUUAGAUUGUGGUGAGUGUGAAAAGCCCAAAAUACUUUGAUGACAUCUUAAGUGAAAAACACAGAAUUUACAGACCUUGUUUUGCACACCUGGUUAAGAAUGAAACAAGGUGUUUGGUAGUUUCCAUCCCUCAAAGUAAUGCAGACUGGGCUGAUUACAGAUGCCUGAUUGCUCAGUGCUACCAGCCUAGGUAGCACUUUGUCUGGUUUAAGAAGUACAGAUAUCUGUAACUUAGACACUUCUUGCUGAUUUGGUGCCAAGUGGAGAAUUUCAGGAAAAAAAUGAGGAAAUAAUCAGAUCAGGCCCUGGCAACUCAUGCUGGCAGAGUGCUUGAAACACAUCUCCCUGUGCUUUUCCAAGGUUACAAAUAAGAAUUAAACUUUCAUGUCUGGGACCAGCCAGCCUUUAACAGGAGAAAUCUAGAAAUCUUAUUGCACUAUUAGUGCAUCAAUGUCCUACUCUAUUAAUUUGGAUCCUAGGGAAUUCACGCUGAGAAACAAAUGGGUCCUAGCAGAACAAAUAAAAAGAAAUAAGCAGUAAACCAUAAUACCUCCUCAGUCAGCUGAAUAUUUCAGAGAGUCCCCAGAAUUAUUUUAAUAAUUUCUCAUAGACAGCCCUUGAUCUGAGCUAUGUCAGCACUUCUGAGAGAUUCUCUAAGGACUCAUAAGAGGUACCUCAUCCAUGCAUCCGUGGUUAAUAAGUUCUCUAUCUUCACAGCACAAUGAUGGGCUCUUAUGAAUCUUAGACACAGCACCAAACUUGAUGCUUUCAUUAGAGGGCAGGAGGUUUUUUUGGGUGGGCUUUUUUUGGGUGUAUUUAUGCAAGUUUAAAUUAAAUACAUGAGUUCAGUAAAGAGAGCAAGAAAUCUCAAAAACAAAAUUCAAAGUGAAAAAAUCCAACACCACCAAAACAAACAAAACAACAGAAGAACUACAAAACAGAAAAAAAAAAAAACCUCACUAGAAACCAGAGGGCAGCAAUCAUGAAUCUGUAGAUGCUUUCACAAACCAAACAUAUUUAGUUUUACUAAAAGGCACCUUCCUGAACUACCGACCAAGGGAAUAGAAAUCAGUGCAUCUCAAUGAGAUAAAAAUGUUUCUUCUAGCAGACCCCUAGGAGCUGCUUAUCUUGCUGGAUAUCUGUAUUCUCAGCUGCCCUAAAAAGAACUGGGACUCUGCAUUUAACAACAGCAACCUCAUUCCAUGCCUCUUCUAGAGCAGAGAUACUGUCAAAAGCAUUUCUGUGCAAGUCCUGAUGUAUGUGAUGACUGCACUGGGUACAGGGACAACAAAGCUGUUUAAAAGUAUAAAUUUACUGUCCAUUGAUUAGCACAAUUCCUGCAGGCCCCAUGAAUUAUUUUUUUUUUAAUGGAUAUCAGAUACAAGAACAAAGCUGUGAGAUCAAACAUAAAUCUGCUUUGCUCAGAGCAAAAUUCUGUGUUCAUAGUUUAUUCCUAUGCAUUUUAGAACCAUUCCAAUUAAAAAUGUAUCUGAUAAAUGGAAAAAAAUAGGCCUAAAUUCUCCAGUUUUGGUGGAAUAUUUCAGUUCAGAAGGAACCAUUAGAUGAUGCAGCCUCAUUUUUGUUUGUCAGGGGGUUUCUAUUUAAUCUAGCUAUACUUGGAUAGGCCCCAGUGGUCCCUUUUGGCUGCAGAACACUUGCUUUGACUUAACCAUAUCUUCCAGAAAUAUUCUCUAGCUUAAUUUGAGGACAUGGGUUCAGGCACUAAGCAUCCUGCCUACCUGCAUGCAAAUCCAAUGUAUCCCUGCCAGGUUGAUGGGAAGAAAACUCUUCAAUAGGUCUGACAGGGCCAGAUCCUGAUGCAGCCAGCAGGAGGGAAAAAUUUUCUAAACCCAUUUGCAAACAAUUUUCACUAAACACUUCCGUAAACCUUCUGGGCUCUGUAAUUCAACACUGGCUUUGAGCUCCAGCCUUUUAUUGGCAGUGUAUCUUGGCUUGAUCUCAUGCCUCCAAUGUUAAAAGCCAAGUUUUGAAAAUUAAGCUGUUGGGUUGACUAUGGGUUAGAUACACUCUUGAUCCAAGUACAGCAGUUUUUGAAUCUCUUUGUACUGCUUUACAAUUAAAUCAGUCUUUCAAUUGUUUUUGGGGUUUUUUUCCCCAGUUUUUCCUCUUUUUCUAUAAGAAUAAAUAAAAAAAUCUGUUCAUUUAAACUUCCUUGCUUUCUGUUGAAUUCUGGAGUCUUUAUGGACAUACGUGGCUCUGACUGUUGUAAGACUGGUGUUUCCAGUGCUUUCAGGUAAUUCCCCUUCCCCAGUCCCUCUCUUGUUAAACAUGUAUUUGAUUUGAAUAGAGCAAAAGGUGAUGGAAACAAAUGAGAGUGUGCAAUGGAGACACACCUUAGGAAUCAAAGAUGGAAAGAGUAAAGAGCAAGAUGUCAUCCAUAUUGCUCCUGAUCAGCAGUGAGGAGUCAUGACAGUUUUUUAUUUAGAUCUUACAGUUUACUUGUCGUGGGCAAGAGAACCUGGUGAGAUUAACUAGUUUAACUUAGUUUUGGAUUUAUUACGAAGAAAUCUUUGCACAAUUUUGUUUUAUCACCUGUGGGCCUCAUGUGACACCUCACUCUUGUGUUUCCAUGUGUUCUGCUGUUGCCAUACGACGACAACACUUUUCAUUUUGUCCUUCUCAUGGACAAGAGGUGAUCUCUUUGUUCCCAGCUCCCAAGGCUGCUGAGUGUACUGGCAGUAUAUUGGACUUCCUGUGCCUUGAAAAUAAAAUACAAACAGGAGGCAAAGGAUGAAAGAUUUGUCACCUGUGUCAUGAGGAAAGAAAAUCCUGCAGAGCCGGGAAGAAAUCUGGAGAAAACUGGUGAGCAGAUCAAAAGUUUCUGAAACCUGUGAUUUCCAUGAUGGCAAACAUCACAAUAGAAAACAAGGUAAAAUCAAAACCAACAUCUGGAUCAUUACCAUGGGAUUAUAUUAGAUAAUGAGCCAAUAAUAUAAAGGAACCUAUGCUUCCUUUUACUGGGGUGGAGCCAGAUCUGGGAAUUUUUACAUCUGAAGACAAUCUAGAAGCAUACUAGAAGCAUGCUACUUACUGAAAUGUCCAUGGGACAGCCAUGGGAUUUUGUGGGCCAAGAGCCUCUGUGCUGAGGCUGUUGGCAGAAAGGGAGCUAACCAGCAACCUUAUUUAACACAGGAAAAUCCUAAACUAGAAAGGUGCCAGCAAACAAAGGAGAGGGAAGAGAAAAGCCAUACAUGGCUUAAAAUUCUUCCAUGAUCUACAGUGUAACACCUAUUAUGUGCACAAUGCAUACACUCCAUUAGGACUUGGGGUGAAUUAAGGCCAUAUGACCAUGCAAGACUGAUAGAGAAAAAGUAUUUUUGCAGCCACAGUAAAAAGUAAAACAAUGAUUUUAAAAUCAACAGUGUUGCUCAAAAGCUUGCACGGAAGAACCAAUCAUUAAACUCUCUGGAGGAUCAUGCUCCGUAUGAUCAUGAUCAAUAUAAAAAUAAUGUAUAAAAUCAUGAUCAGUAUAAAAAUGUUCAUCAUUUUCUGCUUUUGUAAUUAAAUCUAGACAGGAAGCAUCCCUUGAAAUACUUUUAGAUGAAAAUGAGCUCUUGAAGAGAGGAAUCUUGCACAAAUCAGCCCAUUUUAUAGAGAUAUUUUAAAUUAUUUCCCCCUAAAACCUAGAGAAUAUAUUUCUCUCUUCUUUUUUCCUCUUCUUUUUCUCUUUUUUUUGCCACUUCAAGUAAAUCUUUUACUUCUCUAGAGAGCAAAUUCUUAGAGGAAAAAAUGAUAAAUCCUUGAUUGAUAAUUGAUAAUGUGUACAUGAAGGAAGAUCUUUCCCUAGGAGCUCUUCUGUUAACAGGGAGCAAAGCAAAAGUAGGAAGAUGGAGGGGAGACACAAGAUUGCUCUAAACUUCCUUCGGAACUUAAGUGCCCCAGAUCUGCUUACCUCCCAAAAAAUUUGAGUACAGAUGCCCUCCUCUCAUUAGCUUUUAAAUAAAAACAAGCUCAACAAACUGAUGUUGAUAGUCAGAUACUGUGCUCAGUUGUGUCUGCCUAUGGUCAUGGACAUGUAUCUUUGUCACAUAAGCGAUUCCAAAAACUGAGAUGGGAGUAACAUGGUGUUGUUAUCAUGGACUAAUCAGACACUACUGCAGUACUAGGGUGCAAUUACUAUUAGAGCAAUAUCUUAUCCCCAUUCUUGAGGACUUUAUGCAUAAGUAGAAGAAAUUUGUUUUAUAUAUUUAAAAAAAAACAACAAAAGAGAGAGAAAUUUGAGAGCCAAACAAACACAGAUAUUACAAAUAUGGUUCAGUGUAUGCAUUUAUUGCACUCUUUCUUUUGCUUGAUAGAAAGUAUUUGUCUAAUGAAUUUUUUUCAUUUAUUGCAUAUAUAAUUAUUUUAUGCUUUUAUUACUUUUAUUGCAUUUAUUUUAUAAUUACUUUUAUGGGAAAUACAGAAAACAAUUGUCCUGUUAUAAGGCUAAUAAAAAAGAAAUAAAGCUAAAUAGCUUCCAGAAGAAUUAUUUGAUCUCUGUAGAGUGUGCUUUAGGCUAAAAUGUUCUUGGCUUCCUAAAAAAAAAAUAAAUUCCAGGUUGAAAACUCUGCAUGACUAUUAUAGUUUGAAUCAUUCUAUUGAGGCUAAGAUUAUAAAAAAAAAAUGUAUUUCUGUGACUUGUUGUGCCAAUAUAAACAAAUACCAGUUCCUUCUCUGGUCAUUUGCAAACUUAUUUGGAGAAACUCUAGAGAUGAGAAGAAUGAUUGAAUGCAGUAAUGUCAGAGGGGAAAAGAAAAAUAGAAGUAUAGUAGAUGAAAAUUAUAACAGGCAAGAUGGGAAAGGGGAGAAGACUAAAGACUGGAAAAAGUUUAAAUCCACGGAGAAGUACCGGUAACAUUCAUCUGCUGCGGUUGGUGGAGAAGACAGCACUGGGGAGAAAGGUAGUGAUACAACUACAGCUAUAAUGGAUGGCCCAGGCUUCACUAAUAUUCUUUUCCAAGACAGAGGGUGUCUCUAAAGUUAUCCGUAAUAAAAAUUGUUUAAAAAAAAAAAAAUGAAGGUUCAUUAAUGCCUUCUUCCAAGAUGAGACACACUGAGUAUGAAGAUUGUGGUUCAUUUUGUGAUAGACUGUAUUUUCCUCUUCCUCUCCUAUGUCCUUGGACCAGUUCCAACCAUAUUUGGUUAUCUAGGUCUUCUACACCAUUAGUUUUCUGAUGUCCUUACUAACACAAAUAAGAAAUCACCCGUGGCUAUGUUCAGGUAUCUGUGGUCCUUAUUUUUUGCCUCCGUAAGUGACUCAGAUUUAGAGCAAGGAAGCUACCUGUGGUUGUUCCUUGACUAGCUGGUAAAGGAUUGUCCUCAGGCUGGCCAUCAGGAAAUACUGAGAAUUAAAAUAAAGCCCCCAUCUGAUGCACUGGCUUGUAGCACGCCUAGUUUUAAGGGACCAAAUUAUUGUACAAUAGUUGCUGUCCAUUUUCACCAGACACGUGGGCGUGUUAUGCACCCUGCAUUAUAUUGGUUAUUCCAGAAGGCUGUCAGAUCCCCUGCAGCCAUGGAACACGAGGCUGGCAAAGCUUGCUCUCAAAAUGUUUUGCUGACUGUCUUUUAGCAAGUAUGAAAAGAAGUAAGUCUGAGGACGGGGAAAUUGACACUCAGUACGUGGAGGUCAGAGUGCAGCUUCAACAUCUGUGUACCAUCAGUUCAAGAGUAGUUUGGGUUUGUGGACUUGUUGUAACUGGCAGAUGCUUUUUGAUGCCAAGGAGGCUACCCAAGCAGUGUGUACCAUGACUUGGAUGCUGCUGACAUCUUGUCUACUUGUCUGGGAGCAAGUUUCCACUUUAUUUGGGAAAAAACCCAGCAAAAAACAAACAUUAAAACUGAUCCUAUCUAGCUUUCCUGGUCUUUUUCACUUUAAUAUAAGCUUGAUUCUUUCCCAGACCUCAGUGAGCACAUUCAGAGACAAAUUAAGUAAGCAGCACACUGUUGGUCCUCAGUGCCUCUAAGAAAGUUCAGUAAAUGAGUUAAAAGAAAAAUACUAGUAGACCUGAGUCUCACCCCUUCUAAAUCAUGCCCCCAAAGAGUUUCAAGGUGGUGGACCCCAGGACUUUUCCAUAUCACAGACUGGGCCAUCGGCCAAAGGACUCCUCCACCCACCACCCCCUUUAGACAUUUGUGUCUCAUUAGCUCAUGACAGAUUACGCAGCUUUGGUGAUAUAAUCUCAUAUAGCAAGACUCAGUACAAUUCUUGUUGGAAAGAACUUUCCAUGGAUGUAUAGGAACUUGCCUUGAAUGAUUGACUAUCCCUGCUACUUGCAAAUCAGCAGGCAGCCUGCUGCCCGAUUUACCUGAGUAUUUUCUCAAAUAUAGUGGUUUUGCUCAAUUAUUCUACCAUGGUGGUUCUUGUGCUUAUGUAAAAGGUCAUAUAACAUGAAAGUGACAGAAACUGACAUAUUUUUCGCAUACUCAAGUCAUAUUUUUUCAAGUGGAACAAGGGGUAGCUUAGUAAACUGAUCGCUGCUCUUUUUCACACACAAUGGCAGUGAUAAAAUGUUGAAAAAAGCGCUGAAGGUCCUUUGCAGUGGAGCAUGGUUACUGCUUUUAACUGUGGUUUUGGAAUGACUUCUGAAGAAUGAGUUCAGAGUCCUUAUCAGCUGGAAUUUUGAAAUUCUGUCUUAGUCCACUAGAUGGUGAUCCUUUUAAUCAGGAUUCGGGUAACCAAAAAUUACUGGAGCCAUCAACCACAAAAAAGCCUGGCACUCGAGUGGGGAGAAUAGAAAAACUUGGUUAUAAUAUGUCAUGAUUUACAUGAUUAUCAUAAUUUUGGAAAGUAUUCUGAAAUACGUUCGAGACAUUGCUUGAACAUGACUAUAGCGUUUCCUCCGCAAUGUAUCAAUAGGAGUUGUGAGACCCAGUGACCAAGAAACCAAAACUUGAUCUCAUUCUCUUCUGCAAAUUCGCAAGAAUUUGCAACUUCCAAGCUGCAAACACCUUUUGGAAGCUGGUAAUGACAACUACAGCAGGGCAUGCUGAUUAUUUGAGGCUACUUUCAAUGCACAAUCAUUCAAGCAUAUUUGAUUUUUCUACAGAAAACAGACAAAAUUCCAUAAGUAAUAUCAACAUAAGGCAAAGGCUUAGGGUACAGUAAUAGAAAUGUUUUAUUAAUCAAAUAUAUUUACAUUUCUUCAUAUUCUUUUUAAAUGUGUGCCUGUUAUUUUCAUUUAAACACAAUGUCAUCUUUACAUUUGAUAUCACAAGAAUACAGCUACAUGCAUGACUUAAUUGGUCCUUUACAGUAAAAAAGAGGCAAUUUUAUGAAGUUUAAAAAAUGCAAGCAAACUGUUUAUCAUUCUAAUGACAGUGUCAUUAUUAUUUUUAUUACGACACAGGACCCCUUCAGCAUACUCUACAUCUAUAGGGUGGAUUUAUGGGCUUUUUCAGAUUGAAUUGAUGAUGUCGAAACUUCCAAAAUCAAGGAAGAACAAAAAAUUUCAUGCAGUCCAAGAAUAUCAUGUUUUCUGGAAUCUUAUCCACAGAAAGGACUUGCAUGGAACAGAAUAGCAUUCUAAUUGUAAUUUCUAAAAAAACCAGAGCAACUUAACUACUCUUAAAAGCAAUGAGGAUUUAAUUCUGGACAUUCAUCUAUUUAUUUGUUUGAAUUCACACCAUUUUUUCAGCUAUAAGACAGCGUCACAUAACACAAUGGCACCAUACAAAAAAUAAAUAUUAAUUUAAAGGAGAGAUGAUGUUACCAAAAGUAAAAGGCAUACACAUAAUUCCUUGUAAGUCUCUAUUAUGUGAUGUUUUGUAAUUAUAUUAUUCCAAAUUUGGGGUUCUUUCAUGGGAAGAAAAUCAAAUUGUAUUUUAAACUAUCAUCUUUAGGGGUUAUAAGUAGGUUUAUAAAGGACCUAAAGUCUUUCUGAAAGGUAUAACUCUAUGAACAUAUAAAAUUUAAUUCCACACUGAAAAAGAAUCAGAACUAGGCACAGUUUUUAAAUAUGAUUUCCAACAUGUUCAGGGUUUGACAAAAAAAAAUCCAAAACCAAAAGCUUGUAUUUUUUACCAGACUACAAAACAGAGAUGCCAAGUGCUUCAGAAAUUCUGAAAUGGCAGGCACAUAAUCACUACAUUUAAAGAUAAUUGUAUUACACUUACUGCUUCAGAUUACUGUGUGCAAACACAUAUUGUAUGCAUAAUAGACCUAAAUGUACAGUUGUUCUGCUGAUACAUGAACUAAAACUCACUCAGCCUUUGGGAAGUCCAGACAGGAACUGAAUUCUGUUUAGUCCAAACCUAGAAUGUAUUUUAGUUUGUUCAUGUUGGCUUUACAUUUGCCAUAAGGUAACAAAAUGCCAAAUGUGUACUUGAGAAAACGCCACUAUGAAAUCAUGGGUUUUCACUGUAUUGCUUUUGUAUGCUGCCAAAUCUGUUGUGAAAAUGCAAUGUAUAAAAUAGUACAAGGAUUGAAAUUGUGUUUAGGCAUAUGGAACAGCAUAGUGAUUUACACUAGAGAGAAUUAUUUGGAAGUAAAUAAAAUGACUUCUGCAGACAUACUACUCUAGUGCAUUUUUUUAAAAAAUCCAGUACAGUCUUGAAACAAUUGACCUUCACACCCACUCAGCAGAAUAUUUAGACAUGUUAAAAUGAAAACAUACAAGUAAGCCUACCUGUAGUCAGCAGGGAACUUGGAAUAUCUGUAAGCACAUACUUAGGCGCUAUUUGCACUACAGGAUUCGAAUACAGUGGAGUGCUCUUCACUGCCACGAACCUCAUUCCUGACCAUGAGAGCAUGGUUAGAUAGUGCAACAGCACAAUAUACUGAUCUCACAUAGCUCACAUUUGCUUUUCAGAGCAUGACAUUUUCCCACUUACUCCAUUUAUAAAUUUUCUGACCUCUUGUUCUUUUUUUUAACUGUUUGCUUGCAAAAAUGAUCAAAACAUACUGUUCAAAAAUGUAACUAAUAGUAGGUGCCCACCAGAAUGUUACUUUCCAUUAAGUCACUUAAAUAAGGGAAAAUGUGAACUACCAGGCAUGAGUGUCUGAAAGGUUUAGGAUUUUAUUUUGGUUUCUUCUGUUUCAUUAACUUUGUUAGGAACAAAACGAUGUUCAAAUAGUCACCUUUAAGUUACAAGUCUUCCUACCCAGCUUCCCAUGCUUCUUUGAACCUAAAAACAAACCAACAAACAAACACAUUUAUAUAGUAGCUAAGAGUUUCUCAUAGUUUUGAGGAUAGAAUCAGGCGGGCGACAGAAUCGCUCACUCCCCAUACCUCUGCACUCAGAAAUAGAGCUGAAAACUCAUAGGGAUGAAGCUUCUUUAUGAGAUAAUCUGGUAUUUUCUAGAAGAACAAUACAAAAAAAUCCUUUUUUUCCCCACAAUCUUUUUUACAUUUCUAAUGGCCAAACACAAGUACUCCUGAAGUAAUUCCCUGCAAAGCUUUGGAAACUCCAGAUUCUGCAGUGUAGUUUUUACAAUAUAAUAAAUUAACAUCAUGCAGUAUGGAUGUCUUAGUUUUUAAACUCCUUUUAAAUGCAUUUGAAUUUUACUGUAAGCUCUUUUUCUGCUUGAGCUCUUUGCAGAAUUCAUAAAUGGUCUGAACCUGGUGUUAAAUUUGUAGCUGAUUCUGUCUAGCCCUUUACAGAACUGGAUACUUUAUUCUCUACAUAUUUAAAAUCAUCCCCAUAAAUGUGUUUAAAAUAUUUAAUAUAAUCAACUGAGCCCUUAUGAGCCACUCAGCACUUCAGUUUUGGUGCAAAACUGAAUUAUUCUGUUUUAAUCCCCAUAUUCUCCACAAUUUUAUUUUGCAGUUUUACCUUAUGAUAAAGCAUGACCUCAGACUGUUUAAGUUUUGCUUCUUGGUGGUUGUGAUCUUGUUUCUUUUUGUUUCAAUUUAUUAUCUUUUUUUAUUUUUUUAAGUUUUUUUUCUGGUUUUUUUCUGUUUUUUUUUUCCUUUUUUAAACAUUUUUAUCAAUCUACAGUUCUAGCAUUGAGAUAAUCAAUAUUUAAACAAAUGCCACUGUUCUCUAAAUGUGAAAACAUAAUUUAAUUAGACAAAAUUGUGAAAUCUGAAAUAAAUCAUGGAUAAAAACAUGGAAAAAAGCCAAUACAGAAAUUGUUAAAUCAAACCAAUGUAAUGACAUCUGAGCUUUUUACAUUUGUGUUGGGAGUAUUUUGGCUUUCCCUCAUUCACUGUACCAGGCAAAUUUCCAUGAAGUGGAUGCUAUGAAACCUUCAAGAAAUUUACAAAGUGUCUGUAUUCAGAUUUGUCCUUUGUUUUGAAGCUCAGCCCAAUGGUAUUGAAAGCUUCAUCUAACACAGGAGCAUUUCCAACUUUAUCCAGAUAACAGACUAAAAAUAUCAAUGGACUAUAGUUUGGAUUUCUGAUUGAUUUUUCUAGAAAUCUACAUGACAUUAAAUCAGUUACCCAAACCAAAAGUAUCCUUUAGGUUUUCUGCUCCUUGUAAUAUGAUUUACACAUGGACUGGAAUAUUUAGUGUUUAAAGUAUUUUUUACCACCUCUGUCUUUCAUAGCUAUUAGACUUAAUUUGAAAGCUCUAUUAGCUUUAAUACACUUUUCCUAUUCGU